GGAACCGUGGUGUAGCUGGUUAACACGCCGGCCUGUCAAGCCGGAGAUCGCGGGUUCGAGUCCCGUCGGUUCCGCCA
rnacentral:tRNA from 1 species